CGAUCUGCGCAGACUGGCGAGCCCUCAGCCAAAUCUGGGCGAGUAUCUCUUUGAGCGGCUCACCCUGAAGCAUGCCUAGAUGCUGCACAGCCUUCC
rnacentral:pre_miRNA from 1 species